UCCUCGGUAGCUCAACGGCAGAGCGGGCGGCUGUUAACCGCUAGGUUGUAAGUUCGAAUCUUACCCGAGGAG
rnacentral:tRNA from 1 species